ACCCUGUCAGUUCCAUCCGAGGAUCGAGAAAAUUGAUGCCAAUAAAGUGUGAUAGGAAUGAUGCUAUCGUGAUUUCUCAGAAGAUGAAAAGGACCAUAGAUGUUGAAAGGGCCGUGGCAAUUAUCAAGCUGUUUAAAAAAAAAAAACUGUUUUAUUCUUAACAGUGUGAUAGCACCCGAGAAAAAAUGGCUUGGUGGUUCUAUAAAGGUUACGCGGAUACAGAAGAUUGCAUUAACAACUCUCAUAUAGUCAACUAAUGUUCUAGAAAGAGAUGUUCGGUGUAGUUUAGAGAUAAACUUUAGAAUAAAGGAAUAGGUGGCUACUUCAGAGAGCAGCAUUAUUAGCUUUGCCA